rnacentral:rRNA from 1 species
CACGUAGGGACCAAGCGUUGUCCGGAUUUACUGGGCGUAAAGAGCGCGCAGGCGGUCGUUCAAGUCGCGUGUGAAAGCCCCCGGCUCAACUGGGGAGGGUCACGCGAUACUGAUCGACUCGAAGGCAGGAGAGGGUAGUGGAAUUCCCGGUGUAGUGGUGAAAUGCGUAGAUAUCGGGAGGAACACCAGUGGCGAAGGCGACUACCUGGCCUGUUUCUUGACGCUGAGGCGCGAAAGCUAGGGGAGCAAACGGG